rnacentral:lncRNA from 1 species
UUCCCAUCCCUGGGAUAUGUUAGCAUGCAAAGCAGCGCAGAGUGCGCAAGACUGCUCCAGCUAUUUGAAAUAAACCUGGAAGGGACCAGAACUGAAUCGGAAAUCCAAGUCUUUGUGUGGGGAUUGAUUGACGCACUCAGGACCAGAAUGCUGACAGAUCACAUGAACUCUUCCGCUCUGACUGUGGUUUGCAGCCUCUCAUUGCACUGUCAUUUUCACCACUGUGUUUCCCGCCGCGUUUCCUCCAGCACAGCUCUGUCUUCAGGUUUCUUUUAUCCGGUUCUGAUUUCCCUACUGCAGAUUGCCUCUGGGAGGUAUAUGUCUGGUGUCUGUCUCCUGUGCGUGUGUGGGCAUGUACACGUGAGGGCAGAGUCCAUUCGGCCUUCCCCUCUUGUUCCCCACUUUGCCUUUUGACACAGGGUCUCCCACCGAAGCUGUAGCUCGCUGUAGUUUUGGCUAGAUUGGAUGGCUAGAGAGCCCUUGGGGUCCACAUAUCUCUUCCCGCUUGGGGCUGGGGAUCAGUCUUCAUCAUGGAUGCAAUGCAAAAUCCAUGCCCGUUUUAAAAAUUAUUCUGUCUUCU